AGUGAACGCUGGCGGUAGGCCUAACACAUGCAAGUCGAACGGCAGCACAGGAGAGCUUGCUCCCUGGGUGGCGAGUGGCGGACGGGUGAGGAAUACAUCGGAAUCUACUUUUUCGUGGGGGAUAACGUAGGGAAACUUACGCUAAUACCGCAUACGACCUACGGGUGAAAGCAGGGGACCUUCGGGCCUUGCGCGAUUGACUGAGCCGAUGUCGGAUUAGCUAGUUGGCGGGGGAAAGGCCCACCAAGGCGACGAUCCGUAGCUGGUCUGAGAAGAUGAUCAGCCACACUGGAAAUGAGACACCGUCCCGACUCCUACGGGAGGCAGCAGUGGGGAAUAUUGGACAAUGGGCGCAAGCCUGAUCCAGCCAUACCGCGUGGGUGAAGAAGGCCUUCGGGUUGUAAAGCCCUUUUGUUGGGAAAGAAAUCCAGCUGGCUAAUACCCGGUUGGGAUGACGGUACCCAAAGAAUAAGCACCGGCUAACUUCGUGCCAGCCGCCGCCGUAA
rnacentral:rRNA from 1 species